rnacentral:sRNA from 4 species
CUUCGACCAAGGUUCGAUUCGAGCGCAGCGAGAAAGCGUUGCCGCAGGCAACGACCCGAAGGGCGAAGCGCGCAGCGCUGAGUCAUCCUUCCCCCACCACCA